CCAUUGCAUCACUCUGGCAUGUGCUGCUGGGGAUCAAACUCGACUUCACACCUGAGGGUCCAUUGCUUUUAUCCACUGCACCACCUCCGAGGUGUAAAUAGGGGAAAACUGGUGGGUCUGGAAAAGAGUUACAGGCAGGUGGAACAGCAUUUGCAAAGACCCUGAUUCUGAAGCAUAAUUUAUUUAAGUGACAGAAGGAGGUGACACCUUCUAUUCUCCACCUGGAUAGAAUAAAAGAAGAGAGUGAUGGAGAUGGGGUGGUAGGAAGGGGGUAAUUGUGGUAAGGCCAGCAAACAACAUAUGAAGAUGGAUUUUUUUUCAACCCCUGGAGACUUAGUUAUGGGACCAGAAAGCACACUUGGUAGGGUGCCUCAUUGCCCUUUAUGUGGUCCAUGUUCCAGCCCUGUCAUCACAAUGGGAGGUGCUGUGGCAACAGGAAGCUCCUGUGCUGUGAUCUCUCUCUUAUUGGGUGGGGGGGAAGGAAGCUCCUGUGCUGUGAUCUCUCUCUUAUUGGG